rnacentral:rRNA from 1 species
UACGUAGGGUGCAAGCGUUGUCCGGAAUUAUUGGGCGUAAAGGGCGCGUAGGCGGCCACCGCAAGUCGACUGUGAAAUCUCCGGGCUUAACCCGGAAAGGUCAACUGAUACUGCGGGGCUAGAGUGCGGAAGGGGCAACUGGAAUUCUCGGUGUAGCGGUGAAAUGCGUAGAUAUCGAGAGGAACACCUGCGGCGAAGGCGGGUUGCUGGGCCGACACUGACGCUGAGGCGCGAAAGCCAGGGGAGCGAACGGG